GGAUAACCUGCCCUUGGGACCGGCAUAACCCCGGGAAACUGGGGAUAAUUCCGGAUACCGCAUAUAUGCUGGAAUGCUUUAUGCGUGAAAUGGAUUCGUCUGCCCAAGGAUGGGUCUGCGGCCUAUCAGGUAGUAGUGGGUGUAAUGUACCUACUAGCCUACAACGGGUACGGGUUGUGAGAGCAAGAGCCCGGAGAUGGAUUCUGAGACAUGAAUCCAGGCCCUACGGGGCGCAGCAGGCGCGAAAACUUUACAAUGCGGGAAACCGUGAUAAGGGGACACCGAGUGCCAGCAUCAUAUGCUGGCUGUCCAGGUGUGUAAAAUACACCUGUUAGCAAGGGCCGGGCAAGACCGGUGCCAGCCGCCGCGGUAACACCGGCGGCCCGAGUGGUGAUCGUGAUUAUUGGGUCUAAAGGGUCCGUAGCCGGUUUGGUCAGUCCUCCGGGAAAUCUGACAGCUCAACUGUUAGGCUUUCGGGGGAUACUGCCAGACUUGGAACCGGGAGAGGUAAGAGGUACUACAGGGGUAGGAGUGAAAUCUUGUAAUCCCUGUGGGACCACCUGUGGCGAAGGCGUCUUACCAGAACGGGUUCGACGGUGAGGGACGAAAGCUGGGGGCACGAACCGGAUUAGAUACCCGGGUAGUCCCAGCCGUAAACGAUGCUCGCUAGGUGUCAGGCAUGGCGCGACCGUGUCUGGUGCCGCAGGGAAGCCGUGAAGCGAGCCACCUGGGAAGUACGGCCGCAAGGCUGAAACUUAAA
rnacentral:rRNA from 1 species